UACAGAGGUCCCAAGCGUUGUUCGGAUUUACUGGGCGUAAAGCGUGCGCAGGCGGUGAUGUAAGACAGAUGUGAAAUCCCCGGGCUCAACCUGGGAACUGCAUUUGUGACUGCAUCGCUGGAGUGCGGCAGAGGGGGAUGGAAUUCCGCGUGUAGCAGUGAAAUGCGUAGAUAUGCGGAGGAACACCGAUGGCGAAGGCAAUCCCCUGGGCCUGCACUGACGCUCAUGCACGAAAGCGUGGGGAGCAAACAGG
rnacentral:rRNA from 1 species